GAGGCCGACCUGUAUAUGUGGCGGUCCAUCCCCCUCGAUAAAAUUGGAUGGGAUAACGUUGAACAACAUUACAAGGAUGCCCUCAUGAACCACUUACGGGAAAAUUUCAAUUUUGAUGAAGUGGAACGUGAUAUAGAGGCCAAAAACUUGACGGGUGGCAUUAGGGCUGUGCUUAUGAAGCGGUACUCUGACCGCAAGUACGAGGCUAAAAAAUUAUUUAAGAGCAAGGGAGGUUACAAUGAUCUUGAGAGUGCAAGGGCAUUCCAUCCCGAGGAUAUGCCCUAUGAUAACUGGUUGAGAGCCAUUGAAGGUUUCCGGGAAGCUAAAUAUAUUAAAAGAAGCGAGGCCAACACACUAGUACGCGAGAAACAACAAUUCCCAUACCGUGGGGGGGACAUCUUCGUACGGUAGCACCGCCUAUAAAAAUGAUAUGGAUUGGGUACCUACGUAUGCUAAAACCCACACGGACAAUCAAGGGAAUUGGGUUGAUCCGGUUGCUGAACAAAAUUACCGGAACAUACAACAGGCCACAAGUCAAUGGUGCGGUGAGGGUCCGCCAAUUGCCCCGUAUCAGGAAGCGUUGGGUGAGCGGCGAGGAUGGUACCGCGGGAUGGGGCCUAAACCUUCUUCCAACACGUCCUCGCACUCGUCAUCUAACAUGUCGUCUUCGCAAGCUCGGACGCAAGAACCCUUUUCCGAGGUAAACUGCGCAAUUUAAAAAAUGACAAACGAACGCAUGUUUCCUUGUUAAAUAUAUGUUGGUAGCGUUAAUUAAUAUGCUAAUAUACGUUUUGCUAUCUAUUAUUGUAGGAU